rnacentral:rRNA from 1 species
UACGUAGGGGGCAAGCGUUAUUCGGAAUUACUGGGUGUAAAGGGAGCGUAGACGGUAAUGUAAGUCUGGAGUGAAAGGCGGGGGCCCAACCCCCGGACUGCUCUGGAAACUAUGUUACUAGAGUGCAGGAGAGGUAAGCGGAAUUCCUAGUGUAGCGGUGAAAUGCGUAGAUAUUAGGAGGAACACCAGUGGCGAAGGCGGCUUACUGGACUGUAACUGACGUUGAGGCUCGAAAGCGUGGGGAGCAAACAGG